rnacentral:rRNA from 1 species
CACGUAGGGGGCGAGCGUUGUCCGGAUUUAUUGGGCGUAAAGAGCUCGUAGGCGGUUUGGCAAGUCGGGUGUGAAAUUUCGAGGCUCAACCUCGAAACGCCACUCGAUACUGCCAUGACUGGAGUCCGGUAGAGGAGUGCGGAAUUCCUGGUGUAGCGGUGAAAUGCGCAGAUAUCAGGAGGAACACCAGUGGCGAAAGCAGCUUUCUGGGACGGUACUGACGCUGAGACGCGAAAGCGUGGGGAGCGAACAGG